rnacentral:rRNA from 1 species
CACGUAGGGUGCAAGCGUUGUCCGGAAUCAUUGGGCGUAAAGAGCUCGUAGGCGGCUUAGUAAGUCGGGUGUGAAAACCCCAGGCUCAACCUGGGGACGCCACCCGAUACUGCUAUAGCUAGAGUCCAGUAGGGGAGUGUGGAAUUCCCAGUGUAGCGGUGAAAUGCGCAGAUAUUGGGAGGAGCACCAGCGGCGAAGGCGGCACUCUGGGCUGGUACUGACGCUGAGGAGCGAAAGCGUGGGUAGCGAACAGG